AUGAGGAGGAUAAUUCAGGCUGCCAAUUGGCUUUUGGAGUGCCUGAGCAUGCUGCAGGAUGCAGAGGACAUGCCAGGAUUGCUGGCUGCUUUCCAGGUCUUUUCUGAGGCCUUGCUUCUGCUGAAUAAUCUGACAGCAAGGUGCCUCCAGGAGCUCAGAGAUUCUCCUCGACAGAAGAGUCUGGCCCAGACUUUGCAGCUCCUUCAAAGGUGUGUUCCUUUGCUCCAUACAGCCAAGCACAGUGAUCUUAAACACUCCUGUGAUCAGCAAAUAAGUCUCUCCAAAGACUACGCUUUCCAGCUAACGGAGAGGACCAUCAGAGAGCUUACCUCCCUGCUCGUUGACGAUAUGGGCAGCAAGGAGCUACAGGACAGAAAUGGAAUCUUCUCCCAGCGUGUGAGCAGGCUGCUGGCUCUCCUGUCUUGCCCAGAUUCAAUGCACCUCUCCAAGAGUGAGUUCAGUACUCAUGUGGAAACAGUGGUUUUCUACUGCAUGCUCCUAGCAGACUCAUCCAGUCCAGAUACGAAGCUGGAUCUGGUAAAACAUUGCUGGGCUCUCCUACAGCUGAGCAAGAGCAUCUGCAGCCAUGUAAGCCAGCAGGAGGGACGGCCAGGGCAAAGCGGGGGAGAAAGCAGCCUGGAGGAGGAAUGUCACACCAUGAGAAAAGAGRUGGAGAAUCUUGACCAGACGGUGGUCACAGCUACUCUGUGCCAAAUCCUCAACACCUUCUUUGAAGCUAAAGAGCCCCUGAGGCAGCUAGUUGAAGAUGCCCUUAGCCUUGCUGGUACAGGGUGUUUCCCAGCAGGACACGGAGGAUUUUUAAAGAUGCUUCAGCCCCUCACUGCCACCUUCUUCACACAUGCCCAGCAAAUGCUCAGAGUGGCAGACAUUGUUGUGGCCAGAUGCACCAAAAUCCAAACUGCUAGAGAAAUCAGAGACUGUGUAGAGUAUUUAAAGAGGCUCCUUGCCAGUCUCCCUCCACUGCUCACAGAAAUGAGCAGAAAUAUAGCCCAGAUUAGCACUGCUGAGCAACUGCAGUCCUUGUACCAAGCGUGGGCAGGAACAACAGAAAGCCUCCUGCUGUGUUUUGAGGAGAUGGUUGGCAUGCGUGAAUUUCUCAAGGUGUCCAUCCAGCAAAUGGCCAAGCACAGGGAAAGGUGUGAAAAAGCCUUGGAAAGUCAGGACCCUCAGCAGUUUUCUUGGCAUGCGACUAACCUCACCAAUUGGGCUCAAUGGGUAGUUGAAGCUACUACCAGAUACGUGGACAGAGCCACGGACCCCAUUUUCAGGAAUGGCUUGCUGGUUUGGGUUGAGCAAUUGGGAAACUCCAUUGUUGAGCUGAAAACAGUCAUAGCUCUUUGUCCACAGAGACUCUCCUGCCUCCAAACUAGGCAUGUGUUUUUAAAGACAGUAAAGUGCCUGAUAGAUACUUCUCACCAUGUCCAAGAUGGGCUGGAUGGGUCCAACCACCCAGAUAUCCUUAGCCCUCUCCGGGAACAAGUGCGAAGCACUGAGGUUGCAGAGGAGCUUGAGCUCAGCUCAUCAUGUGCUGGGCUAAAAAACAUUACUGAUGAGACUGCAUUGCAAGAAGACAUUUUAAGUUGUCUAUCUCCAAGAACAGGUAACAUACACCCAGAUGUUGUUCUGAGGAAAGCAGAUAUACACCCUGUCAUUACAGCGCUCCUGGCAGCAACAAGAGCCCAUGAUAUGGCAGCUGUCAAUGCUACUUGCUCCACUUUGCUUGAACUCUCCAACUGCUGUAUUGAAGCAUCAAAGGAAGCUUUGCCCGUGGUUGAGUCUCCUCUGAUGGAGACGCUAGGGCAGUACAAGAAUAUCAUAUUACUGACACCAUGUGUUAUCAGUUUGGCCAGGGAAACAGCCUCAAGGCAGCUUCAUGGUCCAGGCAGACUUCUCCAAAUGGCACUCACACUCUCAGAAAGAAUCUGUGAGACCAAAGAGUGCCUGGCAGCCAUGGCAGGCUCUUGGUAUAGUCUGUCUCAGCAAGUGUUUUGCUUUAUCUUGUCUACUGACUUUCUGAGCAGCAAACAGGCUUUGGAUGAGACUAUGAUGGCUUUAGCAGAAAUUGUUCACUUAGCAGGCGACAUUGCAAGCAUGGCUUGCAAUAAUGGAAAUGAUGUUCUCCCCAGUGUCUGGGAGAGCUUUCUACAGGUCCAAGUCAAAUUUUCACAUGCUCAGAUGAACACCAAAGUGUUACUUGAGAAAGCAGUGUCCUUUGAGGGCUCCCACAGGGUGGGAGAGGCCAGCCUGGAGCUGCACUGUGUCCUGUGGGCUGUCAGCAUGCAUGUGCUGCUGAGUGCUGUGGAUCAGUUUAUAGGCAGGGACGUCCUUUUCUUGAGGGAGCUGAGAAAUGCCGUGAAGCACAAGCUUUGCUUGCAGAGCAUCUUGGCUGCUGCGUCUGAGAACUCCCUGAGGUUGCAGGAGGCUGCCCGGCUGUCUUAUUUGUCCUGCCGUGAAGACUGUGGUUGCAGUGAAAUCCUAGUGCUCAGGGAGGAGAUAAGGGUGCUAAUGGAGGCAUUGCUGGAUGCCUCCAAUACCCUGUCGGGGUCUCUGCUGUCUACUCCCAGUUUGUACAUUCGCUUUGAGCUCCUGCAGAGAGACUUAGCCCUCAGAGCGAAGGCACUAUUGCUCCACCUUGAGAAGGCCAAUAUCGAACACUUACAGGUCAUCCGAGACGUCAUUGGGCCAGCCCUGUCCCCUGUCUCUCAAGAUGAYAGAGAGAGGAGCAAACAGGCCUUUGAAGAGAAGGCAGGUCGGCUAAUGGCCAAUGUUCAGUGGGUCAAAAGCACCCUCCAAGAUGUUUUGGAGGCCACUGCUCAACUGCAAUCACAGGUGAGCCUGCUCUCCAUUGCAGACCACCUCCUAGUCCUCACGUCUGAUGCAGUGGGCAGUGCCAGGCAGAUCUUUCAAAGCCAACAGGAAAAAGGGCAUCUCCGCCUAGAGAUCAUUGUCUGUGACUGGUCAGCGAAAGCACACUACCUCGUGACGCAGCUUCAGGCUGUUCAGGGCAUCAAUGAACACGUCUUGGAGCUCGUGAGACGGCGCUUACAGAACAUGGGGGACCAGUGCCCUCCAAGGCAAUGCAACAGCAUAGCCAAGUUCUUCCCAGCCCAAGAGUCUGGUGCUCCAAGCCACACUGAGCAGGCAGAAACUCACCCAAGCAGGAGUGGACAGGCAAGUGGAGCUGCCAGGGAUACCUGUAAAAGGCAACAGAAUGGUCCUCCCAGUGUCUCCCCUGCCAGCAGGCCCAAGGAACCCAUGGGAGAAGACAGUGACGCACGGCAGGGUGGCCCCAACUGGAUGUCCCAGGUCAUCAAGAACAUGGCAGCGAGGAUGCUUCACAUGACGCAAUUCCUGAGGAAGAAAGGCCCAAUCACGGUAUGGUUUAUUUCAUCCUGCACCCCAGCACUUUAGUUGAUAUAAAGAAAAUAUUUUUCUUCAUGAGGGUGGUCAAACCCAGUGACAGGAGCCUGGAGUGGCUAUAGGAUCUCCAUCCUUGGAGAUAUUCAAACCUGACUGGAGAUGGCCCUGCACAACCGGAUGGGGCUGACUCUGCUUUGAGCAGGGCCUUGGACCAGAUACCUCCAGAGGUCCCUGUCCACCUAAACCCUCCUGUGAUUUGAUUCCAAACCUUGCUGGGUUUGCUUAGGCAAUCAGCUCAUGUGCUCCAGCCAGGGCUCUGUGUGCAAGCCAGAACUGACUUUGUCAAGCAGUAGAUGGAAAUAAAACACUUUGAAGCAACUUGGGCA
ensembl:lncRNA